AGAACGAACGCUGGCAGCAGGCUUAACACAUGCAAGUCGAGCGCCUCGCAAGAGGAGCGGCAGACGGGUGAGUAACACGUGGGAACGUGCCCAAAGGUACGGAACAACUCCGGGAAACUGGAGCUAAUACCGUAUGUGCCCGAAAGGGGAAAGAUUUAUCGCCUUUGGAUCGGCCCGCGUCUGAUUAGCUAGUUGGCGGGGUAAUGGCCCACCAAGGCGACGAUCAGUAGCUGGUCUGAGAGGAUGACCAGCCACAUUGGGACUGAGACACGGCCCAAACUCCUACGGGAGGCAGCAGUGGGGAAUAUUGGACAAUGGGCGCAAGCCUGAUCCAGCCAUGCCGCGUGAGUGAUGAAGGCCUUAGGGUUGUAAAGCUCUUUCGCCGAGGACGAUAAUGACGGUACUCGGAUAAGAAGCCCCGGCUAACUUCGUGCCAGCAGCCGC
rnacentral:rRNA from 1 species